AUCUACCUUUAGCUGAGGGAUAGCCCAGAGAAAUUUGGAUUAACACCUCAUGGUCCCAGGCAUUCGCAUGGAUUGUUUGGGUAAAGGUUACGGCUAGAGAUGAGUAUGCGUCCUAUUAGCUAGUAGGUUUGGUAACGGCAGACCUAGGCGACGAUAGGUAGGGGCCCUGAGAGGGGGAUCCCCCACACUGGUACUGAGACACGGACCAGACUCCUACGGGAGGCAGCAGUGAGGAAUAUUGGACAAUGGGCGGAAGUGAUCCAGCCAUGCCGCGUGCAGGAAGACUGCCCUAUGGUUGUAAACUGCUUUUAUAUAGGAAGAAACCCUUGGUCGUGCACCAGGGCUGACGGUACUAUAAGAAUAAGCAUCGGCUAACUCCGUGCCAGCAGCCGCGGUAAUACGGAGGAUGCAAGCGUUAUCCGGAAUCAUUGGGUUUAAAGGGUCCGUAGUGGACAGAUAAGUCAGAGGUGAAAUCCUGCAGCUCAACUGUAGAAUUGCCUUUGAUACUGUUUGUCUUGAGUUAUUAUGAAGUGGUUAGAAUGUGUAGUGUAGCGGUGAAAUGCAUAGAUAUUACACAGAAUACCGAUUGCGAAGCAGAUCACUAAUAAUUAACUGACACUGAUGGACGAAAGCGUGGGGAGCGAACAGGAUUAGAUACCCUGGUAGUCCACGCCGUAAACGAUGGUCACUAGCUGUGUGGAUUUCGGUCUG
rnacentral:rRNA from 1 species